rnacentral:rRNA from 1 species
CGGAAUUACUGGGCGUAAAGGGUGCGCAGGCGGUUUUGUAAGUCAGAUGUGAAAUCCCCCGGGGCUUAAACCUGGGAAUUGCGUUUGAAAACUGUAAAACUAGAGUGCGGCAGAGGGAGGUGGAAUUCCAUGUGUAGCAGUGAAAAUGCGUAGAGAUAUGGAAGAACAUCGAUGGCGAAGGCAACCUCCUGGGCUAGCACUGACGCUCAUGCACGAAAGCGUGGGGAGCAAACAGGAUUAGAUACCCUGGUAGUCCACGCCCCUAAACUAUGUCAACUAGUUGUCGGGUCUUAUUAGAUUUGGUAACGUAGCUAACGCGUGAAGUUGACCGCCUGGGGAGUACGGUCGACAAGAUUAAAACUCAAAGGAAUUGACGGGGACCCGCACUAAGCGGUGGAUUACUGUGGAUUAAUUCGAU